GACGAGGUGGACAAACGUUAUUCGGAUUUACUGGGCUUAAAGCGUGCGUAGGCGGCUCAGAAAGUUGGGUGUGAAAGCCCUCGGCUCAACUGGGGAGGGUCACGCGAUACUGAUCGACUCGAAGGCAGGAGAGGGUAGUGGAAUUCCCGGUGUAGUGGUGAAAUGCGUAGAUAUCGGGAGGAACACCAGUGGCGAAGGCGACUACCUGGCCUGUUCUUGACGCUGAGGCGCGAAAGCUAGGGGAGCAAACGGG
rnacentral:rRNA from 1 species